CUGAAGUACUUGGCUCUAAACUGGGCUCCCAGGAACGGCUCCCUGAACAAUACGGGAUGCCCCAGGAGCUGCCACAUUUGAGCGGCCCCUGGAACUACCAAGGUUGUGAAUACAGCCGGGUCUGGAAGCCAACAUGACCUCUGCCCUGGAACACAGGAUGAUCUACCUCCUCCACAACUGCCUCUUAACACACACCUAGUCAGCUGCAACUGGACGUAGGGAUGAUGCUGCAGGAAAGUCUCACCUCUCUGUGACAUCACUAAACAUCAGAAAACAGCCGAAAGGAAAAGAAAAUGGUCUCCACAUAACUUCGGAGUCAAAUUUCUUACAGAUAAGAGAAGAGCUGGUGUAUCUAAUUCACAUCAGAAACUCUAGCAGCAAGAAGCUCUGGGACACAAGAAUUUUAAACUCUCUAGCUGCGCAAGCACAGGGACGGCACCCUGGAAGGUAGCCUGGAGCAUCGUUCACCAGCCCACACCAUCUCACCAGGCCACUGAAGAUCAAGCAAAGCAACCAGGUACUGAAGAGAGGCUCGCAAUAAUAAUGUCACAGCCAUCAAAACAAGGGCAAGGUUACAAGGAUCAAUAAAACAAAGAAGAAACAUUUGUCUUCUAUGGCACAAAGCUGGGAAAGACUUUCAAGAAACAGCAGCCUUAGAAAUGAGCUACGAACUGCAUAACUGACGAUGUCUCCUCUCACAGGGGCAGAGGAUGCUACACAGACACACCCAGGAAGUUUAGCUCUCUGCCAUCCAGAGGCUGCGGUGCCCUCCCCGACCUGGACCCUCACAGCUCCUGGAUUCCGCCCGAGGUGCAGCCCCCCAGAUGCCACAACUGUGCUUCAGUAAGGAAACAGGCCUCUCCGGACAUUCAAGCUAAGGUUGCACAGCUACUUUGCCAGAGAGAGGAAGCUCAGGCAUCAGAAGAGGUCACCAGAAUUUGGCUGCGCGGAGACCGGGAUCCGAUCAGAUAAAACAGUUCAGGGAACUUCUUGGAACCUACGAUAAACUUACAGAAACAUGCUUUUUGGACCGCGUUAAGGACUU